UACGUAGGAUGCAAGCGUUGUCCGGAAUUAUUGGGCGUAAAGAGCGCGCAGGCGGUUACUCAAGUCAGAUGUAAAAUAUCCCGGCUUAACCGGGAGGGGCCAUUUGAAACUGGGUAACUAGAGUGAAGCAGAGGAUAGCGGAAUUCCCGGUGUAGUGGUGAAAUGCGUAGAUAUCGAGAGGAACACCUGCGGCGAAGGCGGGUUGCUGGGCCGACACUGACGCUGAUGCGCGAAAGCCAGGGGAGCGAACGGG
rnacentral:rRNA from 1 species